GAUGAACGCUGGCGGCGUGCCUAAUACAUGCAAGUCGAGCGAAGCGGGGACGGGUGAGUAACACGUGGAUAACCUCCUAUAAGACUGGGAUAACUUCGGGAAACCGGUGCUAAACCGGAAACUUAUAGAUGGAUCCGCGAUGCAUUAGCUAGUUGGUAAGGUAACGGCUUACCAAGGCAACGAUGCAUCGCCGACCUGAGAGGGAGAUCGGCCACACUGGAACUGAGCAACGGUCCCGACUCCGACGGGAGGCAGCAGGAGGGAAUCUUUCGCAAUUGGCGAAAGCCUGACGGAGCAACGCCGCGUGAGUGAAGAAGGUUUUCGGAUCGUAAAGCUCUGUUGUUAAGGAAGCGGUACUUAACCAGAAAGGGACGGCUAACUACGUGUCAGCAGCCGCGGUAAUAC
rnacentral:rRNA from 1 species